CCUACGAGAGGCAGCAGUGAGGAAUAUUGGGCAAUGGCCGGAAGGCUGAACCAGCCAAGCCGCGUGAAGGACGAAGGUGCCAAGCAUUGUAAACUUCUUUUGUCAAGGGAAAAAAUCAGGCUCGAGAGCAUGACCGAGGGUACGUGAAGAAAAAGCAUCGGCUAACUCCGUGCCAGCAGCGCAGGUAAUAAGGAGGAGUAGAGGGUUAUCCGGAGUUAUUGUGGUUAAGGGGUGCGUAGGCAGGCGUUUAAGUCAGCGGUAAAAAUUCGGGGCUCAACCCCGUCCGGUCGUUGAAACUGGGAGCCUUGAGUGGGCGAGAAGAAGGCGGAAUGCGUGGUGUAGCGGUGAAAUGCAUAGAUAUCACGCAGAACACCGAUUGCGAAGGCAGCCUUCCGGCGCCCUACUGACGCUGAGGCACGAAAGUGCGGGGAUCGAACAGGAUUAGAUACCCUUGUAGUC
rnacentral:rRNA from 1 species